rnacentral:rRNA from 1 species
UACGUAGGGGGCGAGCGUUAUCCGGAUUUAUUGGGCGUAAAGCGUGUGUAGGCGGUUUGUUAAGUUUAAGAUUAAAGCCCGGAGCUCAACUCCGGUUCGUCUUAAAAACUGGUAGACUUGAGUACGGUAGAGGCAAACGGAAUUUCUAGUGUAGCGGUGAAAUGCGUAGAUAUUAGAAGGAACACCAGUGGCGAAAGCGGUUUGCUGGGCCGUUACUGACGCUGAGGCACGAAAGCGUGGGGAGCAAAUAGG